AGUUUGAUUAUGGCUCAGGAUGAACGCUAGCUACAGGCUUAACACGUGCAAGUCGAGGGGCAGCAUUGGGAUAGCUUGCUAUUCAGAUGGCGACCGGCGCACGGGUGAGUAACGCGUAUCCAACCUUCCUGCCAGUAGGGAACAGCCCGGCGAAAGUCGGAUUAAUGCCCUAUGUUCUUCAAUGCGGACAUCUAAGUUGAAGGAAAGAUUCAUCGCUGGCAGAUGGGGAUGCGUCCGAUUAGCUUGCCGGCGGGUAACGGCCCACCGGGGCGACGAUCGGUAGGGGUUCUGAGAGGAAGGUCCCCCACACUGGUACUGAGACACGGACCAGACUCCUACGGGAGGCAGCAGUGAGGAAUAUUGGUCAAUGGGCGUAAGCCUGAACCAGCCAAGUAGCGUGCAAGGAUGACGGCCCUACGGGUUGUAAACUGCUUUUAUGCGGGGAUAAAGUGUGGCACGUGUGCCGCUUUGCAGGUACCGCAUGAAUAAGGACCGGCUAAUUCCGUGCCAGCCGCGGC
rnacentral:rRNA from 1 species